rnacentral:tRNA from 1 species
GCGGAAGUAGCUCAGCUGGUAGAGCGCAACCUUGCCAAGGUUGAGGUCGCGAGUUCGAAUCUCGUUUUCCGCUCCA